GGCUGGAGUGCAGUGGUGCGACCUUGGCUUGCUGCAACCUCCGCCUCCUGGGUUCAAGCGAUUCUCCUGCAUCAGCCUCCCAAGCAGCUGGGACUACAGAUAAACAACAAUAAAAAAAUGAAGAGACAAGAAGUCAAGAGACUUGCCCAAAGAGACCCAGCUAAUGCAGAUGGCAGAGGCAGGAUUCAAGAACAGAUCUUUUCAUUCUAAGUCCAGGACACUCUCCAGUCACCACAGGCUACUGCCUGUGUGUUGAUUUUAUUUUGUGAGUGGGUUGCAUUCAUUUUCAAGGGUGUGUAGGAAUUUAGAAAGCAGAAUAAACCAAAGAGAGCAA
rnacentral:lncRNA from 10 species